CUCUCUCCCUCCCUCCCUCCCUCUCUCUUUCUCUCUCUCUCGCUCGUAUCGAGAAAAUCUCGUCCAACGAGUUGGUCCAGUUAAUCAAGAGUGUUCUAUCGAUGGACACGCGGAACGCUGGCCGUUAACUCGGUUCGCCAGGAUGAAAGUCGGAAAAGAAAGAGGAGGCGAGAAACCGCAACGCGUUCUCCCAUUGUUGAACCCGGCCUAGAUCGAUCUCUUAGAGACACGCACCACAGAUCGAACACAUGCUCCAGUGUCGACGGAUAACACAUUUAACACCUUUCUCGGGUUGGGCGGUGGCGGCUUGGUUCAGCAUUUGAAGAAGAGCUACAGCCUGAGCGACCUGACCGGCGAGAAAGAGGACG